GGAGAAGGAAGUUGACCUGCGAUUGACGGAAGAUCACUAUGUCUCAUCUGAAACAAUACCGGACGUAAACUUGGGAAGUGAUGAUCCUUCCUCUCAAGGACAGACAGACCAAAGUAGCGUAAACAAACCCGUAGAGAGCAUGUUGAGUCUGGUUGAAGAGUCAGCCAGUGAGCCGGCUGAAGAGAAUAUGAUGGUUGUGAGGGAAGAGACACCGUCCGAAGGGCUUGCAAUAGAUCCGAUUCAAGUUUGUCUACCAUUGUCCCAAACAACCACUAUGCUGAACACUUGAGACAGAAAAUGAACCAACCUCUCUGCUACAAUUUGAAGGAACUACAAAAGCACUCCUGAACCCCCCAACAACUUGAAGAAUGCACACCCACACUUUCCCCAGCUCCUUCUAAAAUAUAAGUUCAUCAGAGUAAAAUCAAUGUUUAUUCGUAUAUUCUUAUUCUUAUAAUACGUUAUACAUGAUCACGUAGUAAUCUAGCCCCAGAACUAAAAUACUGUUGUAAAAACCGGACUGGACAAAACCGGUCCGACCGAACCGAUUGAAAAUACAAAUUUGUUCAAAAUGUAAGAGGGAGGGUUCGAACCCCUAACCUCGAAGAACUAAA